rnacentral:rRNA from 1 species
CCUACGGGGCGCAGCAGUGAGGAAUAUUGGUCAAUGGUCGGGAGACUGAACCAGCCAAGCCGCGUGAGGGAUGAAGGUACAGAGUAUCGUAAACCUCUUUUGUCAGGGAACAAAGGCGGGGACGCGUCCCCGGAUGAGUGUACCUGAAGAAAAAGCAUCGGCUAACUCCGUGCCAGCAGCCGCGGUAAUACGGAGGGUGCGAGCGUUAGCCGGAUUUAGUGGGUUUAAAGGGUGCGCGGGCGGUCUGUUAAGUAAGCGGUCAAAGCCCGGGGCUCAACCCCGGCCCGCCGUUGAAACUGGCAGUCUCGAGUUGGAGAGAAGUAUGCGGAAUGCGCGGUGUAGCGGUGAAAUGCAUAGAUAUCGCGCAGAACUCCGAUUGCGAAGGCAGCAUGCCGGCUCCACACUGACGCUGAGGCACGAAAGCGUGGGUAUCGAACAGGAUUAGAUACCCUUGUAGUC